ensembl:ncRNA K08D9.7 ncRNA
CCCCCGCCACAAUAAACCGCCCAUCUCGAAAUUCACUCCGGGUGGUGUGAAAUAUUGCGAGUUUAUCCGGUGAAAUUCGCCGGUUUUUGAGGCUGAAUUCGGUAGAUUCCAAGCUGGUGGUGCCAGGCCAGGCUGUCCCAUUACGGUUUG